GGCAGUGUGGUAUUGUGGUUUGAAUGUUGGACUAGGACACUGGGAGCCCAGGAUUCAAAUCCCUGCUUAGCCA
rnacentral:tRNA from 1 species